AUACGGAGGGUGCAAACAUUGUCCGGAAUCACUGGGCGUAAAGAGCAUGUAGGUGGCUUUGUAAGUGAAUGAUUAAAGACCGGUGCUUACCAUCGGGAAGGUUGUUCAUACUGCAAAGCUAGAGGAUAGCAGGGGUAAGCGGAACUUUAGGUGUAGGAGUGAAAUCCGUAGAUAUCUAAAGGAACACCAAUGGCGAAGGCAGCUUACUGGGCUAUAUCUGACACUGAGAUGCGAAAGCGUGGGGAGCGAACGGGAUUAGAUACCCCGGUAGUCCACGCUGUAAACGAUGCUGACUAGGUCUUGGAGGGUAUCGACCCCCUUUUGGAUCGUAGCAAACGCGAUAAGUCAGCCGCCUGGGGAGCACGAGCGCAAGCUUAAA
rnacentral:rRNA from 1 species